CACGUAGGGGGCAAGCGUUGUCCGGAUUUAUUGGGCGUAAAGAGCUCGUAGGCGGUUCGGUAAGUCGGGUGUGAAACCUCCAGCUCAACCUGGAGACGCCACCUGAUACUGCUGUGACUCGAGUCCGGUAGGGGAGCGUGGAAUUCCUGGUGUAGCGGUGAAAUGCGUAGAUAUCGGGAGGAACACCAGUGGCGAAGGCGACUUCCUGGCCGUGUUCUUGACGCUGAGGCGCGAAAGCUAGGGGAGCAAACGGGAUUAAGAAACCCGG
rnacentral:rRNA from 1 species